rnacentral:rRNA from 1 species
UGCCAGCCGCCGCGGUAAUACGGAGGGUGCAAACGUUGCUCGGAAUCACUGGGCGUAAAGGGUGCGUAGGCGGCCCUGUAAGUCAGAUGUGAAAGCCCUCGGCUCAACCGAGGAAUUGCAUUUGAAACUACAGGGCUUGAGUUCGGUAGAGGGAAGCGGAAUUCCUGGUGUAGCGGUGAAAUGCGUUGAUAUCAGGAGGAACACCGGUGGCGAAGGCGGCUUCCUGGGCCGACACUGACGCUGAGGCACGAAAGCGUGGGGAGCGAACAGGAUUAGAUA